rnacentral:rRNA from 1 species
ACAUGCAAGUCGAGCGAAUGGAUUAAGAGCUUGCUCUUAUGAAGUUAGCGGCGGACGGGUGAGUAACACGUGGGUAACCUGCCCAUAAGACUGGGAUAACUCCGGGAAACCGGGGCUAAUACCGGAUAACAUUUUGAACCGCAUGGUUCGAAAUUGAAAGGCGGCUUCGGCUGUCACUUAUGGAUGGACCCGCGUCGCAUUAGCUAGUUGGUGAGGUAACGGCUCACCAAGGCAACGAUGCGUAGCCGACCUGAGAGGGUGAUCGGCCACACUGGGACUGAGACACGGCCCAGACUCCUACGGGAGGCAGCAGUAGGGAAUCUUCCGCAAUGGACGAAAGUCUGACGGAGCAACGCCGCGUGAGUGAUGAAGGCUUUCGGGUCGUAAAACUCUGUUGUUAGGGAAGAACAAGUGCUAGUUGAAUAAGCUGGCACCUUGACGGUACCUAACCAGAAAGCCACGGCUAACUACGUGCCAGCAGCCGCGGUAAUACGUAGGUGGCAAGCGUUAUCCGGAAUUAUUGGGCGUAAAGCGCGCGCAGGUGGUUUCUUAAGUCUGAUGUGAAAGCCCACGGCUCAACCGUGGAGGGUCAUUGGAAACUGGGAGACUUGAGUGCAGAAGAGGAAAGUGGAAUUCCAUGUGUAGCGGUGAAAUGCGUAGAGAUAUGGAGGAACACCAGUGGCGAAGGCGACUUUCUGGUCUGUAACUGACACUGAGGCG